rnacentral:rRNA from 1 species
UACAGAGGUCUCAAGCGUUGCUCGGAUUCAUUGGGCGUAAAGGGUGCGUAGGUGGCGUGGUAAGUCGGGUGUGAAAUUUCGGAGCUUAACUCCGAAACUGCAUUCGAUACUGCUGUGCUUGAGGACUGGAGAGGAGACUGGAAUUUACGGUGUAGCAGUGAAAUGCGUAGAGAUCGUAAGGAAGACCAGUGGCGAAGGCGGGUCUCUGGACAGUUCCUGACACUGAGGCACGAAGGCCAGGGGAGCAAACGGG